GAUGAACGCUGGCGGCGUGCCUAAUACAUGCAAGUCGAGCGAACGGACGAGAAUCUUGCUUCUCUGAUGUUACCGGCGGACGGGUGAGUAACACGUGGAUAACCUACCUAUAAGGCUGGGAUAACUUCGGGAAACCGGAGCUAAUACCGGUUCAUAUUUUGAACCGCAUGGUUCAACAGUGAAAGACGGACUUGAUGUCCCUUAUAGAUGGAUCCGCGCUGCAUUAGCUAGUUGGUAAGGUAACGGCUUACCAAGGCAACGAUGCAUAGCCGACCUGAGAGGGUGAUCGGCCACACUGGAACUGAGACACGGUCCAGACUCCUACGGGAGGCAGCAGUAGGGAAUCUUCCGCAAUGGGCGAAAGCCUGACGGAGCAACGCCGCGUGAGUGAUGAAGGUCUUCGGAUCGUAAAACUCUGUUAGUAGGGAAGAACAUAUGUAUAAGUAACUGUGCACAUCUUGACGUUACCUAAUGAGAAAGCCACGGCUAACUACGUG
rnacentral:rRNA from 1 species